rnacentral:rRNA from 1 species
GACGAACGCUGGCGGCGUGCUUAACACAUGCAAGUCGAACGGAAAGGCCCUGCUUUUGUGGGGUGCUCGGGUGGCGAACGGGUGAGUAACACGUGGGUAACCUGCCCUUGACUUUGGGAUAACUUCAGGAAACUGGGGCUAAUACCGGAGAUGAACUCCUGCUGCAUGGUGGGGGUUGGUAAGUUUCGGCGGUUGGGGGUGGACUCGCUGCUUAUCAGCUUGUUGGUGGGGGAGUGGCUUACCAAGGCUUUGAAGGAUAGCCUGCCUUAGAGGGUGACCGGCCACAUUGGGACCGAGCUACGGCGCAGAGUACUACGGGAGGAAGCAGUGGGGAAUAUUGCAGAAUGGGCGGAAGACUGAUGCAGAAACGCCGCGUGCGGGAUGACGGACUUCGGGGUGGAAACCGAUUUCGCCUGCGACGAAGCGUGCGUGACGGUAAUGGGUAAAGAAGCCCCGGCUAACUACGUG